AUUGAACGCUGGCAGCAGGCUUAACACAUGCAAGUCGAGCGGAGAUGAGGUGCUUGCACCUUAUCUUAGCGGCGGACGGGUGAAUAAUGCUUAGGAAUCUGCCUAUUAGUGGGGGACAACAUUCCGAAAGGAAUGCUAAUACCGCAUACGUCCUACGGGAGAAAGCAGGGGAUCUUCGGACCUUGCGCUAAUAGAUGAGCCUAAGUCGGAUUAGCUAGUUGGUGGGGUAAAGGCCUACCAAGGCGACGAUCUGUAGCGGGUCUGAGAGGAUGAUCCGCCACACGGGGACUGAGACACGGCCCAGACUCCUACGGGAGGCAGCAGUGGGGAAUAUUGGACAAUGGGGGGAACCCUGAUCCAGCCAUGCCGCGUGUGUGAAGAAGGCCUUAUGGUUGUAAAGCACUUUAAGCGAGGAGGAGGCUACUGAGACUAAUACUCUUGGAUAGUGGACGUUACUCGCAGAAUAAGCACCGGCUAACUCUGUGCCAGCCGCCGCGGUAACAC
rnacentral:rRNA from 1 species